UGAAGAGUUUGAUCAUGGCUCAGAUUCAACGCUGGCGGCAGGCCUACCACAUGCAAGUCGAACUGUAACACGAAACAGCUUGCUGUUUCGCUGACGAGUGGCGGACGGGUGAGUAAUGUCUGAGAACCUGCCUGAUGGACGGGGAUAACUACUUGAAACGGUAGCUAAUACCGCAUAACGUCGCAAGACCAAAGAGGGGGACCUUCGGGCCUCUUGCCAUCGGAUGUGCCCAGAUGGGAUUAGCUAGUAGGUGGGGUAACGGCUCACCUAGGCGACGAUCCCUAGCUGGUCUGAGAGGAUGACCAGCCACACUGGAACUGAGACACGGUCCAGACUCCUACGGGAGGCAGCAGUGGGGAAUAUUGCACAAUGGGCGCAAGCCUGAUGCAGCCAUGCCGCGUGUAUGAAGAAGGCCUUCGGGUUGUAAAGUACUUUCAGCGGGGAGGAAGGGAGUAAAGUUAAUACCUUUGCUCAUUGACGUUACCCGCAGAAGAAGCACCGGCUAACUCCGUGCCAGCAGCCGCGGUAAUACGGAGGGUGCAAGCGUUAAUCGGAAUUACUGGGCGUAAAGCGCACGCAGGCGGUUUGUUAAGUCAGAUGUGAAAUCCCCGGGCUCAACCUGGGAACUGCAUCUGAUACUGGCAAGCUUGAGUCUCGUAGAGGGGGGUAGAAUUCCAGGUGUAGCGGUGAAAUGCGUAGAGAUCUGGAGGAAUACCGGUGGCGAAGGCGGCCCCCUGGACGAAGACUGACGCUCAGGUGCGAAAGCGUGGGGAGCAAACAGGAUUAGAUACCCUGGUAGUCCACGCCGUAAACGAUGUCGACUUGGAGGUUGUGCCCUUGAGGCGUGGCUUCCGGAGCUAACGCGUUAAGUCGACCGCCUGGGGAGUACGGCCGCAAGGUUAAAACUCAAAUGAAUUGACGGGGGCCCGCACAAGCGGUGGAGCAUGUGGUUUAAUUCGAUGCAACGCGAAGAACCUUACCUGGUCUUGACAUCCACAGAACUUUCCAGAGAUGGAUUGGUGCCUUCGGGAACUGUGAGACAGGUGCUGCAUGGCUGUCGUCAGCUCGUGUUGUGAAAUGUUGGGUUAAGUCCCGCAACGAGCGCAACCCUUAUCCUUUGUUGCCAGCGGUCCGGCCGGGAACUCAAAGGAGACUGCCAGUGAUAAACUGGAGGAAGGUGGGGAUGACGUCAAGUCAUCAUGGCCCUUACGACCAGGGCUACACACGUGCUACAAUGGCGCAUACAAAGAGAAGCGACCUCGCGAGAGCAAGCGGACCUCAUAAAGUGCGUCGUAGUCCGGAUUGGAGUCUGCAACUCGACUCCAUGAAGUCGGAAUCGCUAGUAAUCGUGGAUCAGAAUGCCACGGUGAAUACGUUCCCGGGCCUUGUACACACCGCCCGUCACACCAUGGGAGUGGGUUGCAAAAGAAGUAGGUAGCUUAACCUUCGGGAGGGCGCUUACCACUUUGUGAUUCAUGACUGGGGUGAAGUCGUAACAAGGUAACCGUAGGGGAACCUGCGGUUGGAUCACCUCCUUA
rnacentral:rRNA from 1 species